ACUCCUACGGGAGGCAGCAGUGGGGAAUAUUGGACAAUGGGCGAAAGCCUGAUCCAGCCAUGCCGCAUGAGUGAAGAAGGCCUUUGGGUUGUAAAGCUCUUUUAGUGAGGAAGAUAAUGACGGUACUCACAGAAGAAGUCCUGGCUAAAUCCGUGCCAGCAGCCGCGGUAAUACGGAGAGGGCUAGCGUUAUUCGGAAGUAUUGGGCGUAAAGGGCGCGUAGGCUGGUUAAUAAGUUAAAAGUGAAAUCCCGAGGCUUAACCUUGGAAUUGCUUUUAAAACUAUUAAUCUAGGGAUUGAAAGAGGAGAGAGGAAUUUCUGGGGGAGAGGUAAAAUUCGUAAAUAUUAGGAGGAACACCAGUGGCGAAGGCGUCUAUCUGGUUCAAAUCUGACGCUGAAGCGCGAAAGCGUGGGGAGCAAACAGGAUUAGAUACCCUAGUAGUCC
rnacentral:rRNA from 1 species